GAAAAAUGUUGAGAGUUGUUUCAGAACGACACGUCAGUGGACGUGGCAGAAUGAACACGUGACGGGGAGGUGCUGAGACCUAGCGGAGAACGGAGGAACCGCAAGCGAGGGUUGGCGCACCUGAUGGAAUUCGGUGACGUCACGGGCUCAUACGGAGACGUGGACAGGCCGUGACCUUGUUUUGAUCAGCUGUACGGUAACUUAGCGAUAAGAAAAUAGACUAUUGGUUAAAUAAAUUUAAAUUUAAGUGUGUUUUAGGAGAAGAGGAACUUUCAGUAUAUUCCUUAAGAUGAGCUGAGCAGCAGUCCAGUUUACAAGAUGACAAGAGUUCGAGAGACAAGAUACAAGAUCACUGAAACAAGAGCCAAGACUGAAGAUUCAAGAGAAGAGAAAGCUGGCAGCCAUGGACUUACAAGUGGAGAUUAAUAAGGUCAUGUAAAGUUUUAUUUUUUUUUAUGGAAGACAGUAACUGGAGUUUUUUUUGUUAUAAACAUUAUUUACAGAACUUUUUAGGUUAUAGUAAUGUAAUGGAACUAGUGAGUUGUGGUAGCUGUCAAAAAGAACUAAUACCUUAAGUUUAAUUUUUAAAGUUAAUUUUCUUAAUUUACAGAGGGAUUAGUAGUUUUUUUAAACCUUAUUUAGGUUGGAAUUUAAAUACAAUAGCUUAUUAUAAAUGUGUACGAACAGUUCAAGUUCACAGUACUGAUAGGUAGGUCAGAUGAUCUUAUUGAUUUUGAUGAUUUGUUGUUUUGAGUUGAUUUUUAGGUGUUGUGAAUUAGACAAUGAAAUAGUUCUGAAAACUUAAAUUAUUUCAAGCUAAGAAAUAGUAAAGUUAAUUGUAACUCAAAGGACACCAGAAUUUAAUUUUUUUUUGAAUUAGUAAUGUUUGAAAAUUUUAUACUUUACAAGAAAGGUUAUAAACAAACAGAUCGGAUGGAACAAGGAUGCAGUAAAUCACAAUUUCAUUUAGAAUUAUUGAUUAGCUUUUGAGGUUAUGAAGUAAAAGUAAUUAUAGUUUAAAAGUUUGAAUAAAAAAAAAUGUUUUUUUUUAUUUGUUUGAAAUAGAAAGUUUAAAAGUUAAUUAGUCAUGAUCUAGGUGGGUGAUGGGGUGGGAAUUGGCCACUCUUUUUCCCUAUAACCUCCCUAACAUGGCCUUCUAUUACAACUAACAGAAAUAAAGAAGAAGAAAAAUGAAGAAUUAUUAGUUAGAAUGUUUCUUUCAUGAAGAUACCUGAUGAACUUUUACUGUUUGGAAGAAUAGAAGCAAGGUUAGUCAGAUAUUUGUACUCAGAAGAAGAAGAAGAUAAAGCAGUUUUAUGACUCGACAAGCCAGAGAUUGGUGUUUCCCCUCUGCGCUUCUAUUGACUACGUUGUUUACUCUCAUGGGAUAGCUGGUUCGGCACCAUGGAGAGAGAUUGGUGGGCAUUGUGGUUGCCCCCAGAAGAAAAGAAGAGUAGAAGAGGUUAUGGGUGGGUCAUGUGAACUGACCUUCAACCCAGUUACUUCGUGGGGACUAUUUGCUGUAUAGAGAAGAUCAAGACUCAAGAGUUAGGGAAAAUCAUUGGAGGUCAUGUUUCCCUUCCUUAAGUUUUUCCUAUCAAAUUAUUUGCCUGAUUAGAUUAUGCUAAGGGUGGGAUACUUUAUGUUAGCAGUUGAAUUAAUUAAUUUUAUUUUUUUUGUGUGUUUGCAUCCUUGCCCAUCGAUUGCAGUUUAGUAGUUAGUUUUGUAUUUGUCAGGCGUGAUGGUAAUGCCUGUUGAUGAUGUUUCAGAAUUGUAAUCUGUUCGUGAUGAGGAUGGCACAACUCCGAAGCAGAUGUGGGGAGAAGUUGUGAGCUGCCCUGGAAGCCAGUCCAGUAGCUGUUGGAGUUGAGUGGUGUUUGCUGAUGGCCAGCCCAGGGAGCUACUCUUCUCGACAACACUGACUUCGAGGAGUUGCACCAACCUUCACGAGAUAAGAGUUUAAUUAAUUGAAACACUGUAAGGACACUUAAUUUUUUUUGAAGAACGAAAGAAGUAUGGUAAUAAACGGAAACUGAAAAAAAAAAAAAAAAA